UUGAAUGAUAGAGUGGUGUGAGAGGUUAAAUGCAUUGAUUAAGUGAGGCGGUGAGUAUUGAGUGGAAAAUAUAUGAGAGUUGAAAAAUUUUGAGAGUUAGAGCUGAGUGGAUUUGUUUAAAAACGUUGAGGGCAAGCUAGAAAAGAGAAGAGAUGUCCCGCGCCAACCGCUCAGGGCCAGUCUAGGGCGCUGAGCGCGAUUUUUUGCAGACUUGGACUGUUAGUUUAAAUUGGGCUCAGCGUGAGUUGGCCCAUUAGGUAUUUUACUUACUAUAGGUCUCGUCCAAGCCAUCCCAUUCAGCCCCCACUCAUUUGAGCCACUCCAAAGCACUCUCCAAAGGAUUCCUCUCCACUUUCUCCUUCAUUCUUCUUCACAAAACCCUUACUUCACCCAUUCUUCACUUUUUCAUCCAAGUUUAGGAUUUUUGGUUAGCAUUGCUGGUUAGGGUUUGGUCUACCUAAUUUUAAUUGGCAUUCUCCACACAUUAAGCAUCUCCACUAAAGUAAGUACAUGCAUUUUACAUUAUAGGGUUUUUGGAAGCAUGAUUUUG
rnacentral:lncRNA from 1 species